AUGCUUUCUCAGGAUCCUGAUUCUCAUCUCGGUAAACUGACAUUUCUUCAUGGCAAUGAAUUCCUUCAUUGCUGUCUUCCAUGUUCUGAAUCUGCCAGCAGCAGUGAUGGAGGGAUGCUGGAUGAAGUGAUUCCACUGGAGAAGGGCUCUGUGCUUUGCACAAGCUCAGGGCAAUUCCUGCAGCCUUGUUUACAUCUGGCUUUGUUUCUGGCUCCUUGUUCUUGUCUCGCUCAUGGCUCCCUCCAUCAAACCAUCUCCUUCCGUCAGACAUCGCACCUGCUCUCCUUGCUCUUCAUCAGCAUUAAUGAAACGCCCACCACUACUCCAUUCCUUUGGGCUUUAUUCUUCUUGUCCAUGUAG
rnacentral:lncRNA from 13 species